UCAUAAUUUAUAAAAAGUUUGUUGAAAAAUAGGUGUUUGUCAUUUUAUUCCUUCAGUGUGUAAUUUUCGUCAUUUAUUUACACAUUUUCAAUCAUUUUAUAACAAUAAUUAAGGUGGUUUGGCCAUAAAAUAUUCCUAACCUCACUUUAAGGUAAGAAGAUGCAAAUUGAGUCUUGCGACCAAGAAUUUAACUGUGGAACAAAAUUUCUGGAAUGUUACAAGUGUAAUUUCUGUUAUUAUGACUUAAUUUGAUGUUUUUUUGGCUUGUUUUAGCAAAAUCUUGCAAUUUUUUUCACCUGAGGGUGACCACCUUGUGUUUGGCGUGACGGGUUAAUUUUUGUUUUUAAUAGUACAAAAAUCCCCAGAUCUGGUGAAAUUUCACCAGACCUGGCAACACUGCUCCCCUAAUUAGAAUUCAUUAGUUAAUUAGAAAAAGGUGCAGCAAACAGUAAAAACUGUUUUGUGAUUUAUUACUACUAAAAAAAUAAUUUUCAAAUAAACGUGAUAAGAUGGCGCUACAUUAUUAUGUGCAGUGUCGCCAGCUCAAAACAAUUAAAUUCACCACAUCUGAGCUAAAAAAGUUACCAAAUAAUUUUUUUAUUACUGUCGAAGAUUCACAUUUUUUACAUAAAUCUUACAAGUCUGCUCAAAAACGUGUUAAACCCUGGAAAAAUGCAAAAAUAGGCCUACUUCUAUACUUUUUUGGGUAGUUUUUAAUUAAUUUUUGCAAUGAUUAUUUCACGUUACUACAGUUUUAUUAAACACUUUGUUACA